UGGACAAAUUAUUGUAUUCGACUGUAUUCACGGCGUGAAACAUGAGAUUACACUGUUUUUAAAUGGAAAGUGAAUCAGUUAACAUAAUAGACUCCU
rfam:Nicotiana attenuata strain TT chromosome 3, whole genome shotgun sequence.